ACGUACGCUGGCGGCGUGCUUAACCCAUGCAAGUCGCACGGAAAGGCCCUGCUUUUGUGGGGUGCUCGAGUGGCGAACGGGUGAGUAACACGUGAGUAACCUGCCCUUGACUUUGGGAUAACUUCAGGAAACUGGGGCUAAUACCGGAUAGGAGCUCCUGCUGCAUGGUGGGGGUUGGAAAGUUUCGGCGGUUGGGGAUGGACUCGCGGCUUAUCAGCUUGUUGGUGGGGUAGUGGCUUACCAAGGCUUUGACGGGUAGCCGGCCUGAGAGGGUGACCGGCCACAUUGGGACUGAGAUACGGCCCAGACUCCUACGGGAGGCAGCAGUGGGGAAUAUUGCACAAUGGGCGGAAGCCUGAUGCAGCAACGCCGCGUGCGGGAUGACGGCCUUCGGGUUGUAAACCGCUUUCGCCUGUGACGAAGCGUGAGUGACGGUAAUGGGUAAAGAAGCACCGGCUAACUACGUG
rnacentral:rRNA from 1 species